UCGGGAAUUUUGGGCAAUGGGCGAAAGCCUGACCCAGCAACGCCGCGUGAAGGAUGAAAUCUUUCGGGAUGUAAACUUCGGAAGAAUAGGAAGAAUAAAAUGACGGUACUAUUUUUAAGGUCCGGCUAACUACGUGCCAGCAGCCGCGGUAAUACGUAGGGACCAAGCGUUGUUCGGAUUUACUGGGCGUAAAGGGCGCGUAGGCGGCGUAAUAAGUCACUUGUGAAAUCUCCGGGCUUAACUCGGAGCGGCCAAGUGAUACUGUUAGGCUAGAGUGCAGAAAGGGCAAUCGGAAUUCUUGGUGUAGCGGUGAAAUGCGCAGAUAUCAGGAGGAACACCCAUGGCGAAGGCAGCACUCUGGGCUGGUAUUGACGCUGAGACGCGAAAGCGUGGGGAGCAAACAGGAUUAGAUACCCACGUAGUCCCUGAGCGGGCUGGCAAGGCGCAU
rnacentral:rRNA from 1 species